GACGAACGCUGGCGGCGUGCUUAACACAUGCAAGUCGAACGGAAAGGCCCUGCUUUGGGGGGGUGCUCGAGUGGCGAACGGGUGAGUAACACGUGAGUAACCUGCCCUUGACUUUGGGAUAACUUCAGGAAACUGGGGCUAAUACCGGAUAGGAGCUCCUGCUGCAUGGUGGGGGUGGGAAAGUUUCGGCGGUUGGGGAUGGACUCGCGGCUUAUCAGCUUGUUGGUGGGGUAGUGGCUUACCAAGGCUUUGACGGGUGGCCGGCCUGAGAGGGUGACCGGCCACGUUGGGACUGAGAUACGGCCCAGCCUCCUACGGGAGGCAGCAGUGGGGAAUAUUGCACAAUGGGCGGAAGCCUGAUGCAGCAACGCCGCGUGCGGGAUGACGGCCUUCGGGUUGUAAACCGAUUUCGCCUGUGACGAAGCGUGAGUGACGGUAAUGGGUAAAGAAGCACCGGCUAACUACGUG
rnacentral:rRNA from 1 species